rnacentral:lncRNA from 1 species
UUAUUAUUUUUUACUGUUUUAGUCAAACUGGGGCAAGUUAUUGUUUCUUAAAAGCAUACAAGAACUUUAAUAAUUUAUUGGACAAUUAAUGGCUGUUGGCCUUAAAAAAUGUUUAAAACACCAAUAUAAACUCUUGAAAAGACAUCAUGACUGAUUGUUUGAAAUUGAAUAAUGUUUGGUUAACAUGACAAGAACAAAAAUAAAGAACAAAUCGUUUUAGUAAGUUAUGCUGAGCAAGAAAACUUGGUUGAUCGGCAUAAAAUUCAAAGAAAAAAGGAAACUGUUACAAAUGACAAGUGAUAUAUAGAUUUCAGCUGACUCAAACUGAGUCAGAUGUCAAGUAGAAGUUAUAAGUUAAACAAUAUUUGUAUGUACAAUAGAGAAUAGAUUGAAACAGUAUUUGGGACGGUUUAGACAUAGAAACAAGCUCACUUUUGAAGACUGUACGUAUAAAAAAAAAUGUUUACUUUUGAAGACUGUUUGUUAAAAAAGGUUUGCUUUUGAAAAAAUAGGAAAAAUAUAGUUGUUUGCAUUCAAGAACUGGAAAAUAAAAUUGACAUGAGGUAUAAAUCCCUGAUAUCCCUUUAACUAAUAAUUUUAACUUUAACUCUUAAAUAGUUUUAAUUUCAACUCUAACUGGCACUAUGAUUCACACUCAAUUCACACUCCAUUUUAGGGGUUAAAAGUCAUGUCCACUAGAUUAAAAGUAGUGUGCACACGUUUUGAAAACCUUGCUCACCAGUUUAAAAGUGGUGCUUUUCAGUUUAAGAAUUGUUGAAAUAAGAGUGGCAGCAUAUAUAAACUACUGUUAUUGUAAUAUAGUAUAGAUAAGAGCAAGUCUCAUUUUACAAAAUAUUUACUCACACAAUUGCGUUAAAAAAAAAUAAUAAAAAGGGGUUUUCCUUGAGAGUACAUGUGAUAUAAUACGAGUUACAUUUUAAUGAUAUAUAUGUUAAUGUUCAUCUCACAUUGUUUUGAAUUUUUAAUUUGCAAUAUCAAUCCU